CUAUUGCACGUGUCGUGUAGAUGAGAACCUGCGUUCAGGUUCGAGCCGAGCGAAGCGAGACAGCAACGCGUUAGCGUUGACCCCGAAGGGGCGAGGCCAAAGGCCGAGUCAUCCUGCACGACCCACCA
rnacentral:sRNA from 4 species